GCUUGGAUAUGUAAAUGGUUGACACCAAACCACUAUAGUGGAUAUGACGCUCGGCUUGUAACCGAGUGGGUUCGGGUUUGAAUCCCGAAUAAGGCA